rnacentral:rRNA from 1 species
GAUGAACGCUAGCGACAGGCUUAACACAUGCAAGUCGAGGGGCAGCAUAGAAGUAGCAAUACUUUGGUGGCGACCGGCGCACGGGUGAGUAACGCGUAUGCAACCUACCUAUCAGAGGGGAAUAACCCGGCGAAAGUCGGACUAAUACCGCAUAAAACAGGGGCGCCGCAUGGUGAUAUUUGUUAAAGAAAUUCGCUGAUAGAUGGGCAUGCGUUCGAUUAGGUAGUUGGUGAGGUAACGGCUCACCAAGCCGACGAUGGAUAGGGGAACUGAGAGGUUGGUCCCCCACACUGGUACUGAGACACGGACCAGACUCCUACGGGAGGCAGCAGUGAGGAAUAUUGGUCAAUGGGCGGGAGCCUGAACCAGCCAAGUCGCGUGAAGGAAGAAGGAUCUAUGGUUCGUAAGCUUCUUUUGCAGGGGAAUAAAGUGCGGGACGUGUCCUGUUUUGUAUGUACCCUGAGAAUAAGGAUCGGCUAACUCCGUGCCAGCCGCCGCGGUAAUAC